rnacentral:rRNA from 1 species
AUUGAACGCUGGCGGCAUGCCUUACACAUGCAAGUCGAACGGCAGCAUGAUCUAGCUUGCUAGAUUGAUGGCGAGUGGCGAACGGGUGAGUAAUACAUCGGAACGUGCCCUGUAGUGGGGGAUAACUAGUCGAAAGAUUAGCUAAUACCGCAUACGACCUGAGGGUGAAAGUGGGGGACCGCAAGGCCUCAUGCUAUAGGAGCGGCCGAUGUCUGAUUAGCUAGUUGGUGAGGUAAAGGCUAACCAAGGCGACGAUCCGUAGCUGGUCUGAGAGGACGAUCAGCCACACUGGGACUGAGACACGGCCCAGACUCCUACGGGAGGCAGCAGUGGGGAAUUUUGGACAAUGGGGGCAACCCUGAUCCAGCCAUGCCGCGUGUGUGAAGAAGGCCUUCGGGUUGUAAAGCACUUUUGUCCGGAAAGAAAUCGCACUUACUAAUAUUAGGUGUGGAUGACGGUACCGGAAGAAUAAGGACCGGCUAACUACGUGCCAGCCGCCGCCGUAACAC